GCUCCAGUGGCGCAAUCGGUUAGCGCGCCGUACUUUUUAUGCGGAGGUUGUGAGUUCAAGCCUCACCUGGAGCA
rnacentral:tRNA from 1 species